rnacentral:rRNA from 1 species
UACGUAGGGUGCAAGCGUUGUCCGGAAUUAUUGGGCGUAAAGAGCUUGUAGGCGGUUUGUCGCGUCUGCUGUGAAAUUUCGGGGCUCAACCCCGAACUUGCAGUGGGUACGGGCAGACUAGAGUGUGGUAGGGGAGACUGGAAUUCCUGGUGUAGCGGUGAAAUGCGCAGAUAUCAGGAGGAACACCGGUGGCGAAGGCGGGUCUCUGGGCCUGUGCUGACGCUGAGGAGCGAAAGCGUGGGGAGCAAACAGG